rnacentral:rRNA from 1 species
GAUGAACGCUGGCGGCGUGCCUAAUACAUGCAAGUCGAGCGAACAGACGAGGAGCUUGCUCCUCUGAUGUUAGCGGCGGACGGGUGAGUAACACGUGGAUAACCUACCUAUAAGACUGGGAUAACUUCGGGAAACCGGAGCUAAUACCGGAUAACAUGUUGAACCGCAUGGUUCAACAGUGAAAGACGGUCUUGCUGUCACUUAUAGAUGGAUCCGCGCCGCAUUAGCUAGUUGGUAAGGUAACGGCUUACCAAGGCAACGAUGCGUAGCCGACCUGAGAGGGUGAUCGGCCACACUGGAACUGAGACACGGUCCAGACUCCUACGGGAGGCAGCAGUAGGGAAUCUUCCGCAAUGGGCGAAAGCCUGACGGAGCAACGCCGCGUGAGUGAAGAAGGUCUUCGGAUCGUAAAACUCUGUUAUUAGGGAAGAACAAAUGUGUAAGUAACUAUGCACGUCUCGACGGUACCUAAUCAGAAAGCCACGGCUAACUACGUG